AUUCUUAUUCGUUAAUUUUUUAAUUGAUUGUUUCCAAAUUUAUUCUAAAUUCUAUUAAUCAUCUUGAUAAGUUCAUCUUUCUUUUGUUCAUUCUUCCUUCCGGUUCCUUUUCAUUUUCUUCUCUCGAUUAAGUUUCAAACUUGUUGAUAUGAUUUCGUUUUGAUAGAAAAUUUUUUUCUUCACUAAUCUUGUUUAUCUUUUUUUUUAUUAAUUCUUUUCUUUUUGAAUUGGUGACAAUGGAAAGAUGAAUGAUUUAUUUUUUACUUCUCUUCCUCAUCAUCUACUACUAUUCUUGUUGAUGGUAAUUGUUGUUUUAUAUCAACAAUUAGGGUAACCAUGUUAACCAAGUUUUUCUUUCUUAAUCAUAUUAAUCAUACGUUAAUUUGUCUCCAACAGAAAAACAAAAUGAAAAAUGUAUCAAGACCUUCAUGUGUGGUGGUUAUUGUGCUUUCAUGUAAUUUUCAUCAUUUAAUCAUCAUCAACAUGAUGAUUACCCUGGACGAUGAUGGUUUUCAUUGGGAAAAAAAAACAAAACGGUCAAAACUUGCCGUUAGUUAACCUGUUGCUUUUUAUAUUGUUUACAUCAUAAUCUGUCUUCAUCAUCACCAUUAUCACCAUCAACAUUAAGCUUCAUCCUCCUACUUAUUAAACCAACAACUUCAUUACCAUCAACAUAAACAGCAAUGAAAGUCAAUCUCUAAUGAUGGUUAACUAACAACAAUUAAGUUGACAAUUUGUUUCCCAAGCCUUUUUUUUUAAUAUCUUCAUUAUGUAAACAACAACAACAACAAGACAAACGCUGGUGAUUAUGAUUAAGCCCAACAAUUUGUUGAUAAUCUCAUUAAUCUCAUUAACCAUCUAAUUUGUAUAUUCAUACAACAGUUAACAACUAUUAAUAUUAACUACUAACAAUCAACGGCCAAUGACAUUUUUAACUGCUCAUUUAGAUAAGGUUAAUCACCAGUCAGGUCAUAUGUUAGUUUGGUAUAACUGGAUAUGUGAGAUGAUGAUUAUUAUAAGAUUAUAAUCAUGGAAAACGAUAAACUCAUCGGUCAUCAGAUUAUCCCCCAAAAUCCAAGUAAAGGAUCAACAACAAGGAUAAAGAAAAGUGCAAAUCAGAUCAACAAGUGUCCGGAUUUAAAGCAUCCUAACCAAUCCCUUUUUUUUGGAUUCUCAAUGAAAAGAGAAACUGUGAUGAUGAUGCUGAUAAAAUAAUCGAUAAUUUAACUUCUUAACGUCAAAUGUGUAAUGCUUCUCAUUUACUAUUUGAUUAUCUUUAUCAUCCAUCGUUCAUUCAUCUAAAUGAAAUAAUGAUGAAUGAGAAUCAAGGUGCAAGAAGGAGCAGAAAAAAAGAAGAGAGAAAAAAAGAAACAUUCAAAGAAGGAUUAAAGUGAAAGGUGACAACAAUAUUUACCGAUAAUAAUGAUGACUGGAUAUUUUCUGUAUUCACCUUAUAUUAUAUUGCGAUUCAAUGGCUUUUGUUGUGUUUCUCCUGCUGUUUAUUGCUACUUCUUCUCUCUCUCUCUCUGGUACCAAACCGUAUAAUGGAUUCAUAUUGUGCUGACUGUACAUUCCAAUGGUGUAAAUGUUGUAUAGUAAAAAAAAACUACGUCGACCUGGAAGCGACCUUAGGCCUCAAGGUCUUAACCUGAUGAAGGAAAAAUGAUGAUUAUGAUAAGCAUAAGGUUCAUCAUCAUCAUCAAUAGACAUUUAAUCAAAUCACUGUCUUCUCAUCAUCAUUAUUAUCUUCAUCUUUUAUCUUCUUUAUGUGUCAUCAUCUUUUUUUUACCUUCAUCUACAUUCAAAUGUUUCUCUAUCAUCCCUUAUGGCCUCAUCAUCUUCAUCAUCAUCUUAAUCUUGAAACUAAUUCAUUUAGCUUAUCAUCAUCCGGCUUCAUCAUAAUCACAUAAUCAUCUUCAUCAUCAUCAUUGGUUUUGAUAACAAUACUUAUUAUUCAGCCAUUUUGUUUACUCUUUACAAUGUUGUUGUUGUUUUUUUUUCUUGAUUGUGGUUUUGUUUUUUAUUAUUAUUAUGUUGAUUAACUUUUUUCUGAUUGUAUUUAAAUAAUUGUUGCUAUUAUUGUAUUACUGGCAUAUUGUGUUUGUUUAUUUAAUGACAAUCACUUGCUAGUAAUCAUAAUAGUUAAUAUAUGAUGAUGAUGAUAAUUACAUUUCAACAAUGGUGGUCAAAAGUAAUUUAAUUUACAUUCACAACCAUGAUGAUGUUUAACUUGAAUGUUUUUAUUAGUUACAAUGUAACAAUUAACUAAUUAUUACAAACACUAUUGGAUUAAUAAUUUUUUAAAACUCUUUUAACCAAAUUUAACUAAAUUGUUGUUAUCCACUAGUCAUCAUUAAAAAUUGAUUAUAUCAAUUACGAUCCAUCUAAUUGUGAUCAUACACUCAGUUAAUCAACAACAAAAAAAAAAGGUAACAAUAAAUGAUGGAUUUGCUGUUGUUAGUUAAUCAACUAAUCAAAUCAUCUCAUCAAUCAUUUUCCCAACUCAUUAAACUUUUCAAUAUCUAAUUUACAAUCAAUAAUAAUCAAAUCAUCAUCAUCAUCAUCAUCAUUAUCAACAACAACAACUUAAUUAAAAACUCUUAAUAUAAAUCACAAUCAAAUAGUAAAAAAAAACAACAACAACAAAAUAAUUUAAUGACUUUAUCUUAAUCAAGAUGAUCAUGAAUUUGUGAUUAUUCAAAUGAUCAUAAUCAUUCAAUUACAGAACAAUAAUUAAGUGAUUACGAUGAGAAAUUGAAACAUUGAAUUUGAAUCAAUGGCAAGAGAGAAACUUUUAAGAUCAAUAUCAAGAUGAAAAGAACAACAAAGAUGACGAAAGGUAAAGGAGGAUCUCUAACAGCCUCUCUGCCCCGCCCUUUAUACAGAAACGAUUAUGUUGUAACAUAAACAUGUAUCCGGCUCAAUAUCCGUAAGAAGAAGAUGAUAAAUCCCAUUUAUAUUUAAUAACAACGGUAAAAGUACAUUCGGCGCGUGGGAUCAUCAUCAUAAGAUUAAUACCUUUGAUGAUGAUCAUCAUCAUCUAAAGGUACACCUUGAUUCUUAUAUGAAAUGUAAAGAAAACAGGUAGAUGGACAAAAGUACGAUUGAUUCAUCGAUUCAGAUCAUGUUCGAAAUUAGUUGGUCAAUCCUGUCAUCUCAAGCAUUGAAUCUUGUCGGCCAAUUGCACGACUGAUAUUUGGAAAACUGGUCAAUCGUUGUUGUUUAUUGUCGAUGGUGUUGAUGAUGAUUGACCAAUGAUCUUUGUCUCAAUCGUAACGAUUUCAGAAUUGAUCAGAUAAAAGUCUCAACUCGGACAACUCAAUACCCUUCAGUAGCUAUGAAUAUUAACCACAGCCUCAGGGCAUCGUAUCCCUAAGCUGCUAUCAGCUAAUGUUAUUGGUAUUAACAAAAAAAAAAUGCUCUUUUAAAUUAGUAUAUUAAUAAUCUGAUAAUCUAAUUGUUUGUUAUCUGAUGGUCAAUUUAAUUAAUAGAAAAUAUUUCCAUGUCUAA